rnacentral:rRNA from 1 species
GACGAACGCUGGCGGCGUGCUUAACACAUGCAAGUCGAACGGAAAGGCCUGCUUUCCCUUGUGGAUUGCGGGUACUCGAGUGGCGAACGGGUGAGUAACACGUGAGUGAUCUGCCCCCAACUUGGGUAUAAGCCUGGGAAACUGGGUCUAAUUCCCGAUAGGACUGCAGGGUGGUGCCUGUGGUGGAAAACGAUUUUCUAGUUGUUGGGGAUGAGCUCGCGGCCUAUCAGCUUGUUGGUGGGGUAAUGGCCUACCAAGGCGGCGACGGGUAGCCGGCCUGAGAGGGUGGACGGCCACAUUGGGACUGAGAUACGGCCCAGACUCCGACGGGAGGCAGCAGUGUGGAAUAUUGCACAAUGGGCGGAAGCCUGAUGCAGCGACGCCGCGUGGGGGAUGACGGCCUUCGGGUUGUAAACUCCUUUCGACCGCGAGGAAGCCACCUGGUUGGAAGGGUGGUGACGGUAGUGGUAGAAGAAGCACCGGCUAACUACGUG